AACGGUCUAUACCUGCGGUACCUGCGGAGGGAUCAUUAACAUAUACAUCUAUAUGUAUGAUACGUGAUGGACCCCUCUGUGCGUCGUAAUUACUGAAAAAAUAAAGGUAAAUCUCCGGGGGGAAGAUGUAAGGAGGAGAGAUCGGGUGAGUGACCUCUCCGACCCUUUCCUCCUCUUCCCCAGGAGAAUACCUUUUAGACAUACGUUUCUCCUGCAUGUAAAGUGAUCAAUGAUAAUCGU
rnacentral:misc_RNA from 1 species